UACGUAGGGUGCGAGCGUUGCCCGGAUUUAUUGGGCGUAAAGGGCGCGUAGGCGGCCACGCACGUCCGUUGUGAAAUCGCCCGGCUCAACUGGGCGGGGUCGGCGGAUACGGCGUAGCUGGAGCAAGCUAGGGGGCAAUGGAAUUCCCGGUGUAGUGGUGGAAUGCGUAGAUAUCGGGAGGAACACCAGUGGCGAAGGCGGUUGCCUGGAGCUUUGCUGACGCUGAGGCGCGAAAGCGUGGGGAGCGAUCCGG
rnacentral:rRNA from 1 species